UACGGAGGGUGCAAGCGUUAUUCGGAAUUACUGGGCGUAAAGCGCACGCAGGCGGCUGAGUAAGUCGAUUGUGAAAGCCCUGGGCUUAACCUGGGAAUUGCAGUCGAUACUACUCAGCUAGAGUAUGGGAGAGGGCAGUGGAAUUCCCAGUGUAGAGGUGAAAUGCGUAGAUAUUGGGAAGAAUACCGGUGGCGAAGGCGGCCAACUGGACCAGAACUGACGCUGAGGCGCGAAAGCGUGGGGAGCAAACAGG
rnacentral:rRNA from 1 species